GCAUGUUGCGGUUUAGUCUCUAGGAUCGAGAUCAUGGUGAUCUGGACUGUGUUUUUCCCAUGUAUAUAAGAUGACGUAAACACCAGCAGUAUCACCUAUGCAUUGAAUGCAGGAGCUCAGGUCAUACCAACCUGGUAUGUUGUUAUCAUUGUUAUUUCAAUUAUAUUUAUUAUUGUAUAUUAUGUAACAUCCAUCAUAUUUGUAAAUGUUUAUAGUAUUCAUUUAUAUAUCUGUGGAGUUGUCACGGUAACGUGUUGGCAACAGUAGUUAUGAUUAGUAAUUAUGUAUUUGGAUAAGUUAAUUCACUUGUUAUGUAGUAAUGUGAUUCCUGUCAAUUGAUUGUAAACUUAUACUGCAUUUUAACAUGUUUCAGGCUAAAGCUUUUGUUUAUUACAUUCUUGUAAUAAAAGUCCAUCCGCCUCACA